rnacentral:rRNA from 1 species
AGGAUAAACGCUGGCGGCGUGCCUAACACAUGCAAGUCGAACGCGCUUUCGGGCUUCGGUGCGAGAGCGAGUGGCGGACGGGUGAGUAACACAUGGGUACCUACCUUGGAGUGAGGGAUACCGGCGAGAAAUCGCCGACAAUACCGCAUAGGCUUCUUCACAAGGGAAGCAAAGUGACGCGAGUCACGCUGUGAGAUGGGCCUGUGGCCGAUUAGCUAGUUGGGGGGGUAACGGCUUCCCAAGGCGACGAUCGGUAGCUGGUCUGAGAGGACGAUCAGCCACACUGGGAUUGAGAACGGCCCAGACUCCUACGGGGGGCAGCAGUGAGGAAUUUUCCGCAAUGGAGGCAACUCUGACGGAGCAACGCCGCGUGCAGGAGGAAGGUUUUCGGAUCGUAAACUGCUUUUCUCGGGGACGAGACGAACGGACCGGUACCGGAAGGACGAAGCCCCGGCUAACGUACGUCGCCAGCAGCCGC